AGAGUUUGAUCAUGGCUCAGGUUGAACGCUGGCGGCAUGCCUUACACAUGCAAGUCGAACGGCAGCGCGGGGGCAACCCUGGCGGCGAGUGGCGAACGGGUGAGUAAUACAUCGGAACGUGUCCUGGAGUGGGGGAUAGCUCGGCGAAAGCCGGAUUAAUACCGCAUACGCUCGGGAGAGGAAAGCGGGGGAUCUUCGGACCUCGCGCUCAAGGGGCGGCCGAUGGCGGAUUAGCUAGUUGGUAGGGUAAAGGCCUACCAAGGCGACGAUCCGUAGCUGGUCUGAGAGGACGACCAGCCACACUGGGACUGAGACACGGCCCAGACUCCUACGGGAGGCAGCAGUGGGGAAUUUUGGACAAUGGGGGAAACCCUGAUCCAGCAAUGCCGCGUGUGUGAAGAAGGCCUUCGGGUUGUAAAGCACUUUUGUCCGGAAAGAAAUCCUGCCUGCUAAUACCGGGCGGGGAUGACGGUACCGGAAGAAUAAGCACCGGCUAACUACGUGCCAGCAGCCGCGGUAAUACGUAGGGUGCGAGCGUUAAUCGGAAUUACUGGGCGUAAAGCGUGCGCAGGCGGUUUGCUAAGACCGAUGUGAAAUCCCCGGGCUUAACCUGGGAACUGCAUUGGUGACUGGCAGGCUAGAGUAUGGCAGAGGGGGGUAGAAUUCCACGUAGCAGUGAAAUGCGUAGAGAUGUGGAGGAAUACCGAUGGCGAAGGCAGCCCCCUGGGCCAAUACUGACGCUCAUGCACGAAAGCGUGGGGAGCAAACAGGAUUAGAUACCCCUGUAGUCC
rnacentral:rRNA from 1 species